rnacentral:lncRNA from 1 species
UGCGUGGCAGCAUUCAUUUCAUGUGAUCAAUGAUUGUUUGGGUUAUGAUUAAUAUGCUAGGGUGAGCAUCUCAUGCGAAUGUGUAGAAGGUGAAAAGUUUAAUUCAAGCCUUGGAGUUCACUAUUUUUAGUGGGCGAGUGUGAAGUUGUUGUAGUUUAAUAGAAAAUCUUGGCUUCGAGUUUUGUGACUUCCGGGAGAAAAUAGUUAGAAAGAAAGUUCGUGGUAGUGGUGUUAUCUUUUGAUGUUAAAGUUAGUUGAAGUGAUGUGGUGAGUUGCCCAUAGUAAUUCAAAGAGGUUCAUCUGCGAGUUGUGGAUGAUUCUAAUUUUGGGCUAAUUAGUCACGGGAGAUUUGUGGCUAAUAAAAAGGCUAUCAAUUUAGAGAAGUCUAGAUUGAUGACCAAAUUUCCAACUGCUUUGUCCGCAACGAAAGUCAGUUGGGAUUUUUGUGGUUAAUGCUUGUUAUGGUUGCGCAUGUUCUGGUCAUUCAGCUCUAAUUAAGGAUAUGUUCUUCUCCUUGGAAUCAUCAUAUUAAAGAGUAUAAUCAGAGCAUUUUGGAGAAAGAGGUUAAUAGUAGCCGAUGAAUAGUAGGAUUUCUGAUGAUUUUGGUCUCUUUUGUGGGUUAGUUGAAGUUUGUCAAAGCACUAAGUAGGAUGACUUGGAUUGUUGGUUUUACAAAAGUCAUUCGUCAGUGCGUUGUGACAACUUCUUGUCGUGCCACAGUCGGGGAAUUUUAAAAUUUUAUUGAUGGCACUAAGUGUUGAGUUUCAAGCAAGUUUGGAAUCGUGGAGUGAGAUGUCAGUUAUAUUAUUUUAAUCGUGGGGCCAGUAUGGAUUCUUUCGGAAUUCCAGGUGUUGAAGUUUGGUUUCUAGAUUUGUUGAGUGUUUGGGAAGAUGAUAAUGUAAAUGGAAUUGAAAAGUAAUGGUGGAGUGAGAGUGGGAUGGUUGUGGUCACUCCGGUUUUACGACAACACCUGGUGAAUUUAAUGUGUUGUCAUGGGUAUUCUUUAGCAGUUGGGUGGAGUUGGUGGAAGUGGUAGCAGUGGAAUAAAACCCACUGGAUCAAGGAGCAAGAGUGCGUGGGUGCCCAAAGUAAUUUUUUUAAGCAGUGUCAUUCCGGGUGGUUGAUUUAAGUCUCGACUUCGCGAUCGGAGUUGUUUGCUAACAUCUUUUCGUUAGCAUUUGGUGGCUAGCUACGACACCUCAAUGGGAGAAUAUAUUCUCUCGCCUUAUUUAUAAUUUGGUGAGAUGCAGCAAAGUUUUGGUUGUAGUGUGUGUGGGAAUAUUUAAAUUAUUCCUACUGUAGUUUUUGGGUUGCAUCCUCAGAGCUUGAAGUUAUGAAGUGCGAAUUCAAACUCUAUGUUUUGAGGGUUAGAGAUUCUGGUUAGUUGUC